rnacentral:tRNA from 1 species
GGAGAGGUGGCAGAGUGGUCGAUUGCGUCCGACUUGAAAUCGGAUUUCCUCACAAGGGAACGUGGGUUCAAAUCCCACCCUCUCCG